UUCAUCAUCAACUCCGUCUCCAUUUUUCUGCAAAUACCUUUUUCCCAACAUCUUAUCUGAGAAUCAUUCAACCCUUUGCGAAUUUAUGAUUAUGAUUCCGGCCACCAAUCCGAAAGCUGUAUAAUCAGUUCCUCCUUAGCAACGAACCAAGAUGACAGUAGGAGUGGCACAUUUGUCUUAGGAAAUCAGUGUAUCAUUCAGCUUCACUCUUCGACCUUCCCGCUAUCGUGGAGUUGUACAAAACUUACGUUGACAAUGUUCUGAUCAAAACAACAGAUGUUGGUCAGAUAACCAUGGUCAAUGAAGAGGGUGACAGUGAUCCUCCACCAGAUGUAUUGGAGUGCCGCCAUAGUCUUACCCCUCCUAUGGGCUACGAGAGAUGCUAGAAGGCGGAGAUUUCACAAGGAACGAAAUGUAUGAUGUUUUCUCACGUUGUAAACUUUAAGCGACAAACUGUAGAACAUUGAUGAUGGUAAUGGGCUAGCUUAUGUGUUUAUAAAGCAGUCCAAAGCAAAUAAGGAUGCAGUCUAGCUUAUGAAGGUUUUUAUUUUUAUUUAUUUAUUUAUUAUUGUGGGACUUUUGCAUUUGUAAAUUACUAUAUCUUUUGUGCAGGGCUGGCUGUUCUAUUCAGACAUAUCAUUCUGGAAAAUGCCACAAAUGAAAGCUCUCUCAUUCUGCCCCAUUUGAGAAAAUGAUAGUUCUUGAUCUAUAUGCCGACGUAAAACCUGUAUGGGAAUCAUCAUCUCAAUUCUAUAGCGUGGCGCCCUUUAUACAUGGUAACAUCAUCAUUCAAGUAUAAUCACUUUUAGCAUACAAGUUUUUCAAUUGUUUGUAGAUUACAUCCUAUUUUGUGAUUUAUAUAUAAAUGAGUAGUAUGUUACA